AAUUAAACAAAAGUAUGACAUACAUAGCCUUAACAAAUCAUCCACAUAAAAAGUGGUUCAAUAAUUACUUUUAAUUAAAAGAUAUGUAACAUAAUAACAUAAAGAAAAUAGUCUAUUCCCUGGUGUUACGUAUCAGAGCAACUCCACAAUAGACUCGACUAAUAGUAACAUGAGGUACAUCUUCAACUACUCAGGUAUCUAAUUGUCUGUACUCCGAGGGAGCAUAGACACAAUAAAUACAAAAAGUGUGAGAAAUUCAUUCAUAUAAUAUACGGUGUAUAAUAAUUAAGAGAGUAGUAAUUAUACACGCAAAUCAAAUUCAUUCACAAUCAUAUUUUCACCACAACAAAUGCACGAGCACAACAUAAUUACAAUACAAUGAGACCUGACAACAUUACAUGAUGCAUGUGGUAUCAAUUUUCAUCAAUGGUUCAUUAUACAAACUUGAUUCCCCCUUUGGAAUCCUGAACUCUCCCUUCUUAGUUUCAUAUAAGUCUUCUGUCCCCCUUCGGACCUAUGACUUAUCUCCUAUAACAUAUCAACAAUGAAUGCACGACAUGGUAAUAAUGCAAUUAACACAAUAAUUAUAAUAAUAUUUAGUGAUCCAUAAUCGAUCACAAAAUUACAACCAUGCAUAAAAUAAUCCACCAUUCUAGACUACCACCAAUAUAAUCAAACACACCCUUUCAAACAUUCACAACAUAUCAAAUAAUUUGUCAAUGCGGACCUCGUCUAUAUUUGUCACAUCAUACAUUUCUUUCCCACCUGUUACUGACAUAUGAUUGUCGCACCUCGAAAAAAUGGGGAUACGACUUCAAAGCGAAGCGCGAUCGCACGCUCGCAAUGAUGAACUGAACAGAGUCGCCACCGAACUUUAUUUAUUCCUAAAAAGGAAAGGGGAAAUAUCGAUAAAACCCAAGACAAAAUGACAAUGAUUAUUGGUCGUCGCAACCAAAUCAGGGUUCGGGAGUCGAUUACGCAAGGGGAAGGUAUUAGCACCCCUCACGUCCGUUGUACUCAACGGGAACCAUUAGGUCAGUUGUGUGCGUUAGUGUUAGUUUGAAAUGUUAGGCUUUUUAAGUUAUUAAGUGGGAAAGAAAGAAUAGAAAAGAGAAGAAAUGUUUUUGGAUUUUUUGACGAAGGACUAAACCUAAGUUUUUUAUUAGUGGGCCUGACAAGAUUUACGAAUCCUGCUCCUACGUAUCUCAAAAGAGAAAUCAAGGCUUACGUAGUUCUGGAUAGAAAAAUGUUUGUUUGUUGGUCGAUUUUAGCAAAAGCUAUAUUGUAUUAAUCGACGAAAACAUUAUUUUACCCAAAACAGAUGAGGAGUAGACGCAUACCACACAUCGAACGGAUUUAUAAAUCUACAUUCGGAAAAGCGUCAUUUAUCUCUACUCAAUAAUCGUGGCCGAAAUAUUGUUUUGCAUCACCUUAAGACAAUAUAUCUUUCAUUUAUGAAAAAGGUUUUUGAUUAAUCGCACGGCGGCGAAAAAGAGUUUGACUGGUUGAAUGUAUUUUGAGUGAUGGCGAGAACUUGGAUGAGCGAGAUAUACAUCUCGAAUCCUAGCCUCAGGAGUGCAUGGUAUACACCAUGUUCCAUUUCCAUCUUAUUUGCAAAAAUGUUUAAUAAGAAUUAAGUGUUUUUGAGGUUUUGAUUGAGAAAGGGUCUGAAGAAACCGCAUUGACAAUUUUAGACGAUGGCGAGAGCUAAGAUAGGCGAGGCAUACGUCUUGAAUCUUAAUCUCAGGAGUGCACGGUAUACACCAUGUUCCAUUUCCAUCUUUAUUGAAAAAGUAUUAAAUAUGAAUUAGGUAUUUUUGAGUUUUGUUGUGAAAAUGACUUGACCCUAGAUCAAGUAUUGAUGGACGUUUAAGAGAAAUUUGAAUGAGUGUUUG
rnacentral:lncRNA from 1 species